rnacentral:misc_RNA from 1 species
UCUCCGUUGGUGAACCAGCGGAGGGAUCAUUAAAGAGUGUAAAAACUCCCAAACCCAUGUGAACUUACCACUGUUGCCUCGGUGGGCUACCCGGUAGCUACUCGUAGCCGCCUCGGUCGCCUGCCGACGGACUUCAAAACUCUUUUGAAUAUUGAUUCUCUGAGUACAACUUUUAAUAAGUAAAAACUUUCAACAACGGAUCUCUUGGUUCUGGCAUCGAUGAAGAACGCAGC